UUUCACAAUAUAGUCCAACUUACUUUGGUCCUGAGCAUGCUCAGGUUCUUUCUGGCCAUUUACUUCAUUCUAGUUUACCAGGGCUCACCAGGAUGGAACAGAUGUCUUUGAUGGCCUUAGCAGAUACAAUUGCAACUACAAGCACUGAUAUUGGAGAAAGUAGAGACAGAAGUCAAGGUGGAGAAACUUUAGAUGAGUGCGGAUUAAAGUUUCUUUUGGCUGUUCGACUCCAUACCUUCCUUACAACUUCCCUUCCAGCUUACCGAGCUCAACUCCUUCACCAAGGCCUUUCUACUGGUCAUUUUGCUUGGGCAUUUCACUCAGUAGCAGAGGAAGAACUACUGAAUAUGUUGCCAGCCAUGCAGAAAGAUGAUCCAACUUGGUCUGAACUG
rnacentral:lncRNA from 1 species